rnacentral:rRNA from 1 species
CGCGUACCCAUCCCGAACACGACCGUUAAGCCCUCCAGCGCCGAUGGUACUUGGACCGAAGGGUCCUGGGAGAGUAGGACGCCGCCAAGC